rnacentral:misc_RNA from 1 species
UCUCCGUUGGUGAACCAGCGGAGGGAUCAUUAUCGAGUUUAUAACUCCCAAACCCUAUGUGAACUUACCACUUGUUGCUUCGGCGCGCGCUUCGGCGCCGCCGAGGACACUUAAACUCUUUGUUUUUAUAAGCAUUUCUGAGUGGCCGAAAGGCAAAAUACAAAUGAAUCAAAACUUUCAACAACGGAUCUCUUGGUUCUGACAUCGAUGAAGAACGCAGC